CAAGAGUCACAGGCUAGCCAGCGUGAAAGGUUCUGGCUUUUUUUCCCCACGACCCGUGGGUCGCCCAGGAGGAAUUUUCUCAUCCCUCUCCUCAAAUGGGAUCUGAAAAAAGUUAGGUGCCUGACCAAACAUCUCGCUGGUGAAGAGGGUGUCCUGUCUGGCAACUUUUCAUUCGGUCAAAGCUCUCGUGUGUUAUCAUUCUGGUUCAACCACUCGUAACUCAACUUUAAGUCAAUCAAACCCGUCCUAGAUUAUGGGCCGCGGCCUGGGAAAGACGGACAGACAAGGUUAGAUUGAGAUUUUCCAACAAGUUAGACUGAGCCCUCUUCCGGCUUGGCUUUCCUAUGGGGUCCACAAGGAUUAUGAGAGACUUGUUUUGUUAGCAAUGUCUGAACUACUUUACACAGUGACUAUCUCCCCAGACCAGGAAUAUUCUAAAACACAUGAGGACCAAUUGGGAAUUUAAUAGUCAUGAGCCUUGAAUAACUCAUUUUAAAAAGACCCUUAAUUUCCUUUCUUAAGUUCAGUCUAAGGUGCGUUCUUACCACCCCUUCCUCCCAUACUCUGCCUCCUGAAAAGGAUUUACAAAAGGUCACUAGAUUUUAUGGGAGCAGUAUCCAAUGUCAAUGGAUGAUUCUAGAUGUUGAAGACAGCACAGGAGGCACUGGUAAGGAAAACAUAACGAGUCGGUGUUCCAAAGUGCACCAUCAAAGGACGACCACCUUAUAAUUCCUUUCUAGAAUCUCUCAAUCCCAUGACACUUUAGGCAAAAGAGCCCUUCCCAUUCGUUUGAGACUCUGUUGACUCAUCCAGUAAGUAUGGAGUUGUUAUUUUUUUAAAAGUUUAAAAAUUUGAGUUCGGCACACAUCUGUAAUUCCAGGAUCCAGAGGCAGCACAGUCAAGAGUAUAGUUGUGAGUUUGAGGACAGCCGGGGCUAAUAGCAUAUACUCAACCACCCAGGGAUGCUUACAAGACACCGUCUCAAAAAAUAACUGAAAUGGCUGUGUUCUGGCUGAUAUUGUCCAAUGUCUGAUGACACACACACAGCAUGUGGCGCCCGCCAGGUUCCUUUGUCUGUAGUGUGGCUUCAGGGACAUACGUCCUCACAGGUUCUGAAUGGGGGAGGCAGGGAAGCAUGGCAGUUCUUUUCUGUCCCCGCCGCUGGAAGGCCAUGGUUCUAGGAUAAACUAAUGUGCUGCCCGGCUGUCACUGACAACGCUGAGAUCCAAGUGAUGACAUCACAAACCAGAAUUCUGGGAAAGCAGAGCUUCAGUGCCCCAGGCCCCUGACUACUGCCCACCCUACAUGUUCUACCAGUCUCUUGGGACCCUCUUCGGCUGCCCCUCUAGGGGUCCCGAAACACUUCAGGAUGGAAAAGAGAGCUGGAUUGAAAGAUGCCUCAAUGAAAGCGAGAAUAAACGCUAUUCCAGCCACACAUCUCUGGGGAAUGUGUCUAAUGAUGAAAAUGAGGAAAAAGAAAAUAACAGAGCGUCCAAGCCCCACUCCACGCCUGCCACCCUGCAAUGGUAAGUGCCCGCUUUCGGCAAGUGUGAGCCGCCCAGAUUUUUCUAGCCAGGGCAGGCUACCCCUUGGCUCUUCUGAGGUUGGGAUGCUUAUUUGGUAGCCCUUGAGAAAUCUGUUUGGUGUGCAGGUAAACGCAGAGGGCUCGCCUUAGAUCGAGCCUGGCAGUUUGAGUUUUCACAUGUCUUCUCUUUGGAAGUAAAUUUUAUCCUUGUAAGCAAAAUACUGGUAGGGAUUAGAUUUUACGUGAGUGUUAUUAAUUGAGUUUUAAUUAUUCUGUUAUUACAAUGGAUGGAGUUUAGCAAAUGGUAGAAAUGAGAGUCUGUUCAUUUUUAACCUAGGGGCUCCAAGUAAAUUAAUAGUUGAUGGGAAUAUAAUUAUUUUAACACCAUAACAAUAGCAAAAGCGAUGUGCUAAAUAGCUUUCCAUUUAUUAUUUGAAAUUCCUGGACUUGGUGAAAUGCCUCUUCUCAAAGCUUUAUUGGAACGAUGCGCUGUGACUUUGAACCCUGGAGCUCUCUGACAUGAUGCCCAUCCUAGACAAUCUCGGCAGUUGGAGACCAUCCUUCUCUUAGCUGUCUGUCUCCGUGAACCCAAAGGAACCCAGGAGUAAAGGGAGGGACAGGUUUAGAGAAGGAAAGGUGUCACAUCCAUUCUGUGCCAGUCCUGUGUGGGGCUCCCUUACCUGCUCUAUGCCAUCCAGGCCAUUGGCUUUUGUAUUGCCGUGUCUGUUUUCUAGAGGAGGGAGGAACGCUGAGACAGUUACAUCAUUGGUGGGCCACUGCCUGUUAAGUGGAAGGAGCCAGGGAUCUGGCUGGGGUUCUAACUGCCAGCCUCGUUCUUGGGAAGAGGAAGCUGAAGGGUCAGAUGGGGAAGGGAAGCUGACGGCUAUGAGGACUGUGUCACUGUGUCCUGUUUUAGUCUCUGGGCUGGUCAGCUUGCUAACAGAACUUCAGUGUGAAAGGACACACAUAAAGAAAGACACAUAAGGGGGACAAGCAAAAGGUCUAGAAAGGAGUCUUGGAGGCCACCUGUGUUACCUGGCAACAGAGCUAGCUGAUGGCUGACACUCUUGUAACGGGGGCUGAUGUCCUUCCGGAUGCCUGCCCUCAAUUUGUCUUCCUCUUGUCUCUGCAAGCAUUAGUGAGAAGCCUGUCACCUGGGAGUGAGGCUUGACUGGAUGGGCUGGAGGCCUGGCUUCAAUGCCCAACACAUGAUAAACCACAUGUGGUAACUCAGGUCUAUAAUCCCAGCACACGGAAGCUGGAGGCAAGAGGGUUAAACUCAACUUCUCCCUUACAUGCAGUGAGUUCGAGAUCAGCCUGGCUGCAUGAGAUCCUGUUCUCCCUACCCCUACCAGAAGCGGGGGUGGAGGGGUGGAGGUGGGGGAGCGGGACUUCUAA
rnacentral:sRNA from 1 species